rnacentral:rRNA from 1 species
AGAAUCAACGCUGGCGGCGUGCCUAACACAUGCAAGUCGAACGAGAAAGUGGAGCAAUCCAUGAGUAAAGUGGCGACCGGGUGAGUAACACGUGACUAACCUACCUUCGAGUGGGGGAUAACCUCGGGAAACCGAGGCUAAUACCGCAUAAUAUCGAAAGAUCAAAGGAGUAAUCCGCUUUUGGAGGGGGUCGCGGCUGAUUAGCUAGUUGGUAGGGUAAUGGCCUACCAAGGCGAAGAUCGGUAUCCGGCCUGAGAGGGCGCACGGACACACUGGAACUGAAACACGGUCCAGACUCCUACGGGAGGCAGCAGUGGGGAAUUUUGCGCAAUGGGGGAAACCCUGACGCAGCAACGCCGCGUGGAGGAUGAAGCCCCUUGGGGUGUAAACUCCUUUCGAACCGGGAAAAUAAUGAUGGUACCGGUGGAAGAAGCACCGGCUAACUCUAGCGCCAGCAGCCGC